rnacentral:misc_RNA from 1 species
AAUGAAGGUGAAAGUAUUUAUUUAAUUAUCUUCUUCUACUUCUUAUUCAAAUCUUCUACAUCUCACCAUGCAUGAAAUUAAAUCUUGAAUUCAAGCUAACCAGUGGUUGGCUCCAGUACAACCAAAUAACACUAAAAGCUUUAAGACCCUAUGACCUUUGCCUACUUGUGAUCCAUUGUAGGGUCCUAAAUUGGGAAAUUUGGAGACAGUUCUACCUUUCUGCAUUUUCACACAAGUGGCUACUCUCAGUUCUCAAACCAACAAUUUUUUUGGUUGCAAGCUGAAGACUUUUACCACUACUCAGCUCAUGGCCUUUAAUACAAUAGCAAAACUGGGAAGAAAUUUUACCUGAACCAAAAUAAAAGGUAAAGA